CUGGGUGGGUACAGGCAUGUCUGUGAUUAUUUCUGGGUGUUUUAGACACUCUGGAAUGUCUCAUAUUAACAUUUUUAUGAAAAUAAAAAAUUAAUCUUGAUAUUACGUUCAUCUGAAAAUGACUCUACAAUCUUACUUUUUCCUAUACUCUCCCUUAUGUGGCAGAAAAAUCCUAUGUGUUUAUAAAAUCUUGUUUCAUUUUCCUCGCUGAGUCACCACUUGGAGGAGAGCCCCGAAAGGGAGCCUCCCACCACACAUCAGACUGUGACAUGAGCAAGAAAUAAACCGUGUUGAGUUAAGGCACUGAGAUUUGGUAUUUGUUACUGCAGACUAGUCCAUCCUAUCCUGAUUCUUUUCUUAGGAACAUCUUCAAAAGUCCUAGGAUUCAGGGGCUGGCCCCGUGGCCGAAUGGUUAAGUUUGCGCGUUCCGCUGCAGGCGGCCCAGUGUUUCAUUGGUUCGAAUCCUGGGCUCGGACAUGGCACUGCUCAUAAAACCACGCUGAGGCAGCGUCCCACAUGCCACAACUAGAAGGACCCACAACAAAGAAUAUACAACUAUGUACUUGGGGGCUUUUGGGAGAAAAAGGAAAAAAUAAAAUCUUUAAAAAAAAAAAAGAGUCCUAGGAUUCAUUCUAAUUGAACAUACAUGGGUCAUAUACUCAUCCUUGAAACAAUUACCAUAGGCAAGGAGCAGUUGGCACAUUGAUUGACCGAGGUGGGGCCACAUGCUGUACUCCUGGAAUUGAACACAGAACCUUGGUGAACAAGUGGAUCGAUACUGAGAACAGGAUUUGGUUCAAAAGUGGACAUACAGCUUGGCCCGCAUGUGACCUGACUAACGGCCAAGAGAUUUGGAGAGAGAGGGUCUGGCGAGAUUGAAGACUGCUGUGCCUGUGAUGUGUCAGUUUCCAUUAGAAGACGGAUCCCAUGUGUGCCUGCUGACCUAACAGUUUGCUGAAAGUUACUUAUCCCUUAGGUGUUCCUGCCUCUCGUGGACAUCCACCUCCCAUCAACCUGACUUGUUGGAAAAGUUCCUGGCUGGCUCUGCUUGUCACAGCUCUGAGAUGGAGAAAGAGGGCCCAGCUGUCUCUGCAGGACCAGUGGACCAAACGCUUUAAAAUACUCUUGGAUUCAGGGAGUCUUCAAUCUUCAAAUGGCAGGUAUAGGCAUUGUGCCUUUGUAAGACAUGCCACUCAAAAGCUCACCCUGUUCCCCUUUCCCUGAUCCCCAACCCCCACAUACUCACAGAGACACCUGAAUCUUCAAGGAGUAGUGUCUAAUUUAAGUUUAUUGGGCCACCAAUCAUUGUGGUAGAUUGCCUCAUUGGCUCCAGUUCUCUGCCCCUUCCUGUGUCCAUGUCUUUUCCAUGGACUUUGCCAUUCUUCCCACUAAAGGAGCAGAAUAUAUUUCCCCACCACUUGACUUGGGAUUUAGCCAUGUGACUUGCCCUGGGCAGUAGAAUGAAAUGGAAAUGACAAUGUACCAUUAUGAGCUUGGGCCUUAAGAGGCCUUGAAUAUUGCCUCUCACAGACAUGUGAGUCAUAUAAUUUUUGUUUUAAGCCGCUGAAUUUUGGGAUGGAGGUU
rnacentral:lncRNA from 1 species